UGGGGAAUCUUGCGCAAUGGGCGAAAGCCUGACGCAGCGACGCCGCGUGGGUGAUGAAGGCCUUCGGGUUGUAAGCCCUGUGGGGAGGGAAGAAUGAGUUCGGGCUAACAUCCCGAGCGAUGACGGUACCUCCUUAGCAAGCACCGGCUAACUCUGUGCCAGCAGCCGCGGUAAGACAGAGGGUGCGAACGUUGUUCGGAAUUACUGGGCGUAAAGCGCAUGUAGGCGGCCGCGCAGGUCGGGUGUGAAAGCCCUGGGCUCAACCCAGGAAGUGCACUCGGAACCGCGCGGCUCGAGUCCCGGAGAGGAAGGUGGAAUUCUUGGUGUAGAGGUGAAAUUCGUAGAUAUCAGGAGGAACACCGGCGGCGAAGCGGCCUUCUGGACGAGGACUGACGCUGAGAUGCGAAAGCGUGGGGAGGCAAACAGGAUUAGAUACCCUGGUAGUCCACGCCGUAAACGA
rnacentral:rRNA from 1 species